GACGAACGCUGGCGGCGUGCCUAACACAUGCAAGUCGAACGGAGUUGAAAGAGCUUGCUUUUUCAACUGAGUGGCGGACGGGUGAGUAACGCGUGAGUAACCUGCCUUUCAGAGGGGGAUAACGUUUGGAAACGAACGCUAAUACCGCAUAAGCUGGUAGGGCCGCAUGGUCCAGCCAGAAAAGGAGCAAUCCGCUGAAAGAUGGACUCGCGUCCGAUUAGCUAGUUGGUGGGGUAAAGGCCCACCAAGGCGACGAUCGGUAGCCGGACUGAGAGGUCGAACGGCCACAUUGGGACUGAGACACGGCCCAG
rnacentral:rRNA from 1 species